rnacentral:rRNA from 1 species
UACGGGGGGGGCUAGCGUUGUUCGGAAUUACUGGGCGUAAAGGGCGCGUAGGCGGCCUACUAAGUCGGACGUGAAAUCCCUCGGCUCAACCGGGGAACUGCGUCCGAUACUGGUGGGCUCGAAUCCGGGAGAGGGAUGUGGAAUUCCAGGUGUAGCGGUGAAAUGCGUAGAUAUCUGGAGGAGCACCGGUGGCGAAGGCGGCAUCCUGGACCGGUAUUGACGCUGAUGCGCGAAAGCCAGGGGAGCAAACGGG